rnacentral:rRNA from 1 species
UACAGAGGGUGCGAGCGUUAAUCGGAAUUACUGGGCGUAAAGGGUGCGUAGGUGGUUAUUUAAGUUAGGUGUGAAAUCCCUGGGCUUAACCUAGGAAUUGCAUUUAAGACUGGAUAGCUAGAGUUUGAGAGAGGGAAGUGGAAUUUCCGGUGUAGCGGUGAAAUGCGUAGAUAUCGGAAGGAACAUCAGUGGCGAAGGCGACUUCCUGGCUCGAUACUGACACUGAGGCACGAGAGCGUGGGGAGCAAACAGG